AGGACGAACGCUGGCGGCGUGCCUAAUGCAUGCAAGUCGAGGGAGAACCGCUCAAUCCGUAAGGAGCGAGCGGGGAAACCGGCGAACGGGUGCGUAACACGUGAGGAACCUGCCCUGAAGACCGGGAUAGCCCGGGGAAACCCGGAUUAAUACCGGAUGAUCUCAUCGGACCGCAUGGCCUGGUGAGCAAACAGUCCGCUGCUUCAGGAUGGCCUCGCGGCCUAUCAGCUUGUUGGUGGGGUAACGGCCUACCAAGGCAUCGACGGGUAGCUGGUCUGAGAGGACGAUCAGCCACACUGGGACUGAGACACGGUCCAGACUCCUACGGGAGCAGCAGUGGGGAAUAUUGGACAAUGGGGGAAACCUGAUCCAGCAACGCCGCGUGGAGGAUGAAGGUCUUCGGAUUGUAAACUCC
rnacentral:rRNA from 1 species